rnacentral:rRNA from 12 species
GUCAUUGUGAGUCUCAGAUCUGUGACUGCACGAUAAUGUCAGACCUCAGAAGCUAAGGAGGUCAGGGUCUGAUUAGUAGUUAAAUGGGGGACCAUUUAACUAGGAUGGACAAACAAUGGCU